AUAUAUAUAUAUAUGUAUAUUUGUGCGUGUAUGCGUGAGAAGAGAAUGUAAGAGUUAUAUUAAGCUUCCAUCAUUCUUUCAAUUUUUGAUGAUCUGACUCAUUCAAGCUUUUAGAGAACAGAGCAGAUGUAGAACAACCCCUGUAGAGUCACACUGUAAAAAACAGCUGUGAAAAUACAGGAAUUUUAAGGUACCGUUCUUCGUAAAUACAGUUGAAUACUGUGAAUGAUGGUACCUUUGCGGAAUAAAUUAUUAAUCGCAAACUACUGUUUAAUUUUACGGUAUAAAACAGUAUUUUUUAAGUCUAGUCACGUGUGCGACGCUGAGACUGCUCAUAACUCCUCAGAGCACCACAACGCAUCAUGAUUUUUUCCCCCAUCUGAGCAAAAUAACAACGGUUCAAGUGUCUUCAGAAGUAAAGUUGUACAGAAAUAUUAAAGAGAAAAGGAGGAAGAGUUCAAGAAGAUGAUUUUUUCUCCCCGACUGUGAGCUGCAAGCAUCACCAAACUGAAUGACAUAUUCCGGAGUUUUCCUCGUCGCCUACUUAAGGUAAAUGUAAUUUUAUCAUUGUCAUUGUUACCCUGUGGUAGUAUUUACAAAAUUGUAUAUCUUAUGUGAGUGUUUAUAGAAUAGAAUAGAGGGACUGAUUCUCCAUGCUGAUGUACGUUUUGUUUAUUUUUAUUUAUUUAUAUUUGCUACGACUGGUCACACAAUUUCAUUCAUAAUUUGAAUACCUUUGUCUAUGUUCUACAGAUGUCUGCCACUGCAGCAGAUGUUGAGCCCUCCUUGCCACUCCAUUACUGUUUGCUGGUCAUGAAGCCACAAUUGGAGGAUGGAUGAGCAGCAUCGAAAACCAUGUCAUCUGUGAAGGUGUCCACCAAAGCUUCAUCACAGGGCUGGCUGCAAUUAUCGACACUUACUACGUCUUCAACUUACAGUACCAAGAGGAAGCCUCAAGGAAGCUGGAGUUUGUUCAAAGGCGCUUCAUUGGAUUGAUCCCUGAGAGAGGAACAAAGGCCAACCAGGUGAAGGUGAUAUCCAAGAAGACAGGGAAACUUGUCCUUUGGAAACCUUUUGGAUGUUGAGCGGGGCUUUGUUUAGUAAUGCAAAGUCAGAGCGUUGUGUUCUGCAACUAUAGUAGAUGUUCAUGUGAAGUCACAGCAUUCUGUUCUACAACCAGAUGUUCAUGUAAAGUCAACGCAGUGUUCUGCAAAUCAGUGUUCAUGUGAAAUCACAGCACUUUGUUCUGCAGCUACAUCUUUCUGUAAACUUUCUGUAUUCUGUUCUGUAACCACAUCUUCAUGUGAAGUCAGAGCAUUGUGUUCUGUUCAAUCACAAUGGUGUAGUGGAAACGAUGCGCUUUAUAUAUUAUUGGCUUUAAUAAAAGUUUUGAAGCCAUCUUUUGUGAGAACCAUUUGUGUUCAAGUAAUUUUCUGUGGUUUUAGUUUUAGACUGUCAAUUUUAAUACAUAAUUAAUUUAAUUUAAUGUUUUAAUACAUUUUACAGUAAUAAAGUUUAUGAGAUUACAGUAAGAAUACUAAAACAGUAUAAUGGCAACUAAACACCUACAGUGUUAUACUGUACAUCUUAUAUUUUCUACAGUGCAGUACUGUAAUAUUUUACAGUAAUAAACUGUUGUUCCAUAUUACAGUAGGUGUACUGUAAAAAUCACAGCAUUAUGCAGGCAAAUCUAGCUGCCAGUAGUUUACUGUAAAUUAACAGGAUUUUUUUUACAGUGCAGAGUCAACGUAUCCACCAUUCAAACAAACAGGACAUUUUCAUUUCAAUAGAUUAACAGACACCUCCAGUAAUAGUUCUAUCUUUAAAUAUGUUGCAUAAAUAAAGAAAUGAAUAUCAUGAGAAAAUGUAAGUAUUUUACGAGGUGGCAGUUUUGUUUGAAUUCAUACGAUGUGAA